rnacentral:rRNA from 1 species
UGGGGAAUAUUGCACAAUGGGCGCAAGCCUGAUGCAGCCAUGCCGCGUGUGUGAAGAAGGCCUUCGGGUUGUAAAGCACUUUCAGCGGGGAGGAAGGCGAUAAGGUUAAUAACCUUGUCGAUUGACGUUACCCGCAGAAGAAGCACCGGCUAACUCCGUGCCAGCAGCCGCGGUAAUACGGAGGGUGCAAGCGUUAAUCGGAAUUACUGGGCGUAAAGCGCACGCAGGCGGUCUGUCAAGUCGGAUGUGAAAUCCCCGGGCUUAACCCGGGAAUUGCAUCUGAUACUGGUCAGCUAGAGUCUUGUAGAGGGGGGUAGAAUUCCAUGUGUAGCGGUGAAAUGCGUAGAGAUGUGGAGGAAUACCGGUGGCGAAGGCGGCCCCCUGGACGAAGACUGACGCUCAGGUGCGAAAGCGUGGGGAGCAAACAGG